rnacentral:rRNA from 1 species
AUGGUCCGGGCAGGGACUGCCCGAACUGCAACCCAUCUCCGAGCUCCUUGGCACGGCAUGGGCGCCGCCCUCGCUGUGGCUAGGGCGCGCGGCGCCUGCGCGUCAACGUGCGCUCGGCUACCAUUGUCGCGUCGUCUUCCGCACCGCACCUGCGCCUGGCCGCCUCCCAUGACGCCGCUUGUGGCCCGCGUUGGGCAUGCGCGGCCGGUCCAGUCCCAAUCGACGUCGUUGAGGCCGUUGGCGUCGGCGUCAUCGUCCGAGGGUAGCUGCACCUCAUCUUCCGAGGAAGGCUGCUGCUCCUCCUCCGGCUCCACCAUGUCCUCCAGCGGGCUCCUCCUCCAUUCCUCACGGCGGCCAAGGAGCCGCGUCUGA